UACGAAGGUGGCAAGCGUUGUUCGGAUUUACUGGGCGUAAAGCGUGCGCAGGCGGUGAUGUAAGACAGGUGUGAAAUCCCCGGGCUUAACCUGGGAACUGCAUUUGUGACUGCAUUGCUGGAGUGCGGCAGAGGGGGAUGGAAUUCCGCGUGUAGCAGUGAAAUGCGUAGAUAUGCGGAGGAACACCGAUGGCGAAGGCAAUCCCCUGGGCCUGCACUGACGCUCAUGCACGAAAGCGUGGGGAGCAAACAGG
rnacentral:rRNA from 1 species